GACGAACGCUGGCGGCGUGCUUAACACAUGCAAGUCGAACGAAGAGCGAUGGAAGCUUGCUUCUAUCAAUCUUAGUGGCGAACGGGUGAGUAACGCGUAAUCAACCUGCCCUUCAGAGGGGGACAACAGUUGGAAACGACUGCUAAUACCGCAUACGAUCUAACCUCGGCAUCGAGGAAAGAUGAAAGGUGGCCUCUAUGUAUAAGCUAUCACUGAAGGAGGGGAUUGCGUCUGAUUAGCUAGUUGGAGGGGUAACGGCCCACCAAGGCGAUGAUCAGUAGCCGGUCUGAGAGGAUGAACGGCCACAUUGGGGCUGAGACACGGCCCAGACUCCUACGGGAGGCAGCAGUGGGGAAUCUUCCGCAAUGGACGAAAGUCUGACGGAGCAACGCCGCGUGAGUGAUGACGGCCUUCGGGUUGUAAAGCUCUGUUAAUCGGGACGAAAGGCCUUCUUGCGAAUAGUUAGAAGGAUUGACGGUACCGGAAUAGAAAGCCACGGCUAACUACGUGCCAGCAGCCGCGGUAAUACGUAGGUGGCAAGCGUUGUCCGGAAUUAUUGGGCGUAAAGCGCGCGCAGGCGGAUCAGUCAGUCUGUCUUAAAAGUUCGGGGCUUAACCCCGUGAUGGGAUGGAAACUGCUGAUCUAGAGUAUCGGAGAGGAAAGUGGAAUUCCUAGUGUAGCGGUGAAAUGCGUAGAUAUUAGGAAGAACACCAGUGGCGAAGGCGACUUUCUGGACGAAAACUGACGCUGAGGCGCGAAAGCCAGGGGAGCGAACGGGAUUAGAUACCCCGGUAGUCCUGGCCGUAAACGAUGGGUACUAGGUGUAGGAGGUAUCGACCCCUUCUGUGCCGGAGUUAACGCAAUAAGUACCCCGCCUGGGGAGUACGACCGCAAGGUUGAAACUCAAAGGAAUUGACGGGGGCCCGCACAAGCGGUGGAGUAUGUGGUUUAAUUCGACGCAACGCGAAGAAUCUUACCAGGUCUUGACAUUGAUGGACAGAACUAGAGAUAGUUCCUCUUCUUCGGAAGCCAGAAAACAGGUGGUGCACGGUUGUCGUCAGCUCGUGUCGUGAGAUGUUGGGUUAAGUCCCGCAACGAGCGCAACCCCUAUCUUAUGUUGCCAGCACUUUGGGUGGGAACUCAUGAGAGACUGCCGCAGACAAUGCGGAGGAAGGCGGGGAUGACGUCAAAUCACCAUGCCCCUUAUGACCUGGGCUACACACGUACUACAAUGGGAGUUAAUAGACGGAAGCGAGAUCGCGAGAUGGAGCAAACCCGAGAAACACUCUCUCAGUUCGGAUCGUAGGCUGCAACUCGCCUACGUGAAGUCGGAAUCGCUAGUAAUCGCAGGUCAGCAUACUGCGGUGAAUACGUUCCCGGGCCU
rnacentral:rRNA from 1 species